rnacentral:rRNA from 1 species
GACAGAGGUUGCAAACGUUGUUCGGAAUUACUGGGCAUAAAGAGCACGUAGGUGGUCUGCUAAGUCAGGUGUGAAAUCCCCCGGCUCAACCGGGGAAUUGCGCCUGAUACUGGCAGGCUUGAGGUCGGUAGGGGUGAGCGGAACUCCAGGUGGAGCGGUGAAAUGCGUAGAUAUCUGGAGGAACACCGGUGGCGAAGGCGGCUCACUGGACCGAAUCUGACACUGAGGUGCGAAAGCUAGGGUAGCAAACGGG